CUUUUGGAUUAUUGAAUAUUUUUCCAUUGUUUUUUAACUUUUCUUAUAGUUUAGGAAUCCUAAUGCUAGUUGGAAUCUAUAUUAGCUAUAUAACUUUCAACAAGGAAUCAUUUUUCUAUAAAGAUUAGGAUUUAGACCUAAAACUAGUAUAAAUUGGGCUGUCUAGCUUAUUUUUCCGGCAUGUUUUAUGUCAUUAUCAAUCGUUAUAGAUUUGAGGUUCUGUACAGAUCCUAAACCUAUUUUUCUAGUUUCAACUUGAAUUUUCUUCAAGUCAGUCAACGAUUUUUUGUUCUUUACUGUUUUGAGUUGAUUUCUCUUCCACACUUCUAACCAGAGAUUAAUAUCAUUAUCUGAUAUACGUAGUCUUGCUUUGCUAUGUAUUUUGGGUUCUAGCAAAUGCGUAGCUCAGUAACCCACUUUAGACUGAACUCUAGUUUCAUAUUGCUACGGUAUAUGACUCUGAUCCAGGAUGAUUUUGCAGGGGAAAUUCCUUACUGUAUAUUUCUGCUUCUCACUUCAGGCAUCCCUGGAGUCCAGCUGACUUUUACUUGUUUCCUCGUCAUAUCAUCUUCCUAUAUGAUUCUUUUGAGGCUUGAUGUUCAUUAUUUAUGAUUUACAGGAAUGGCCGAUAUGUGUGACCUAUGGAGCCAUGACUGGAUAUUUGGUUGGAAUGCUAGCAAGUUCUGGUUUUGUUCUUGCAAAUGGGAGACGGCAACGACUUAAAGAAGACUAACAUGCUAAGAAAGAUUAUUUACCUUUACCUAGCUGUAGGAACAAGCAUGCCGUUUUGGAGAUUGCUGACAUACAUGUUGAAGAUCGCCACUGAAAUACCUUUUUUUUUUUUUGGAUGGAUACAAUCAGCCAGGCAUCUUCUUUGGUUUUCUGGACGAGUAUUCAGCAUGUAUAACAUCAAUCAUUUUUUAUAUUGGUUUUAUCAUGAAAAUUCACUUUUCACGACAACCAAAGGAGAAUUAUAUGUUUCCUUAUAUUUAUGUUGUAUAAAAUCAAGUUUUAGGCAUCAAUGCGCACUUUAUUCAUGCGUGCUUCAAAG
rnacentral:lncRNA from 1 species